GGAUGGGUAGGGGAGCGUCGUCUGCCGGGUGAAGCGGCACUGGAAGGUAGUCGUGGACGGUUGACGAGUGAGAAUGCAGGCAUGAGUAGCGAUACAAACGUGAGAAACGUUUGCGCCGAUUGACUAAGGGUUCCUGGGUCAAGCUGAUCUGCCCAGGGUAAGUCGGGACCUAAGGCGAGGCCGACAGGCGUAGUCGAUGGAUAACCGGUUGAUAUUCCGGUACCCGCUGUGAAGCGUCAAACAUCGAGCAUCGUGAUGCUAAGGCCGUGAAGCCGCCCCGGAGCCUUCGGGCAAAGGGGAGUGGUGGAGCCGCCGAACCAAGCGGUUAGUAGGUGAGUGAUGGGGUGACGCAGGAAGGUAGUCCAUCCCGGGCGGUGGUUGUCCCGGGGUAAGGGUGUAGGACGUCAGGUAGGUAAAUCCGCCUGGCACAUAGUCUGAGACCUGAUGCCGAGCCGAUUGUGGUGAAGUGGAUGAUCCUAUGCUGUCGAGAAAAGCCUCUAGCGAGUUUCAUGGCGGCCCGUACCCUAAACCGACUCAGGUGGUCAGGUAGAGAAUACCGAGGCGUUCGGGUGAACUAUGGUUAAGGAACUCGGCAAAAUGCCCCCGUAACUUCGGGAGAAGGGGGGCCAGCUCUGGUGAGAACACUUGCUGUUCGAGCUGGGGGUGGCCGCAGAGACCAGCGAGAAGCGACUGUUUACUAAAAACACAGGUCCGUGCGAAGCCGUAAGGCGAUGUAUACGGACUGACGCCUGCCCGGUGCUGGAACGUUAAGGGGACCGGUUAGCUCUGAUUCGUCAGGGCGAAGCUGAGAACUUAAGCGCCAGUAAACGGCGGUGGUAACUAUAACCAUCCUAAGGUAGCGAAAUUCCUUGUCGGGUAAGUUCCGACCUGCACGAAUGGCGUAACGACUUCUCGACUGUCUCAACCAUAGGCCCGGUGAAAUUGCACUACGAGUAAAGAUGCUCGUUUCGCGCAGCAGGACGGAAAGACCCCGGGACCUUUACUACAGUUUGAUAUUGGUGUUCGGUUCGGCUUGUGUAGGAUAGCUGGGAGACUUUGAAGUCCACACGCCAGUGUGGGUGGAGUCGUCGUUGAAAUACCAGUCUGGUCGUGCUGGAUGUCUAACCUGGGUCCGUGAUCCGGAUCAGGGACAGUGUCUGAUGGGUAGUUUAACUGGGGCGGUUGCCUCCUAAAGGGUAACGGAGGCGCCCAAAGGUUCCCUCAGCCUGGUUGGCAAUCAGGUGUUGAGUGUAAGUGCACAAGGGAGCUUGACUGUGAGACCGACGGGUCGAGCAGGGACGAAAGUCGGGACUAGUGAUCCGGCGGUGGCUUGUGGAAGCGCCGUCGCUCAACGGAUAAAAGGUACCCCGGGGAUAACAGGCUGAUCUUCCCCAAGAGUCCAUAUCGACGGGAUGGUUUGGCACCUCGAUGUCGGCUCGUCGCAUCCUGGGGCUGGAGUCGGUCCCAAGGGUUGGGCUGUUCGCCCAUUAAAGCGGUACGCGAGCUGGGUUUAGAACGUCGUGAGACAGUUCGGUCCCUAUCCGCUGUGCGCGUAGGAGUCUUGAGAAGGGCUGUCCCUAGUACGAGAGGACCGGGACGGACGAACCUCUGGUGUGCCAGUUGUUCUGCCAAGGGCAUGGCUGGUUGGCUACGUUCGGGAGGGAUAACCGCUGAAAGCAUCUAAGCGGGAAGCCUGCUUCGAGAUGAGGACUCCCACCCACUUGAUGGGGUAAGGCUCCCAGUAGACGACUGGGUUGAUAGGCCGGAUCUGGAAGCCAGGUAACUGGUGGAGGUGACCGGUACUAAUAGGCCGAGGGCUUGUCCUCAGUUG
rnacentral:rRNA from 1 species